AGAUCACGAAGAUUGCCUCAGUAGCGGCGAGUGAAGCGGCAAUAGCUCAAGUUUAGAAUCGGAGGCCGUCUCGGUUUUCGAAUUGUAAUCUAAAGUGAGUAACAAAAGGGGAUUCGGAAGCAUAAGUUCCUUGGAACAGGACAUCACAGAGGGUGAAAAUCCCGUAUGUAGCUUCCGUUGAACCGAAUGUUAUUUAUCCAAGAGUCGGGUUGUUUGGGAUUGCAGCCCUAAAUGGGAGAUAAACUUCUUCUAAAGCUAAAUAUCUAUGGGAAACCGAUAGCGAACAAGUACUGUGAAGGAAAGGUGAAAAGAACUUUGAAAAGAGGGUUAAAAGACUUGAAAUCGUUGAGAAGGAAGCAGUAUAAGUGGAUUUAUGUUAGCUAUGAAGCAACUUAGGUGAGGAACCAGCUCGUAGUAGUAAUGUACGUUAUUGGCUAGCUGCUACGAUGUAAUGGCACUCUCUGGGGAUUUCAUAGUUAAAGGGCAGGACCAGGUCUUAUUUUGCUGGAGUCAGUUGGGAGAAAGCCCUGCCUUACGGUAGAAUCUCCUUUCAAAACAGUAAACUGGCCUGAGGAAAGGUCCUGCCACAACGGCUUAUACUGACCCGUCUUGAAACACGGACCAAGGAGUCUAUCACUAAUGCGAGUUUGCGAGUGCAAAAACUCAUAGGCUUAAUGAAAGUAAGUAUAAGGUGCCAAGAGGAGAGGUACGCCGAUCUUCUGCAGCAUCGACCGACCAUGAUCUUUUGUGAAAGGUUCGAGUAAGAGCAUUAUUGGUAGGACCCGAAAGAUGGUGAACUAUGCUUGAGUAGGGUGAAGCCAGGGGAAACUCUGGUGGAGGCUCGUAGCGAUACUGACGUGCAAAUCGUUCGUCAAACUUGAGUAUAGGGGCGAAAGACUAAUCGAACCAUCUAGUAGCUGGUUCCCUCUGAAGUUUCUCUCAGGAUAGCUGGAACGUAUAUGCAGUUUUAUUAGGUAAAGCGAAUGAUUAGAGGCAUCAGAGGUGAAACACCUUUGACCUAUUCUCAAACUUUAAAUUGGUAAGAACCUCGAGUUGUUUCUUAACUGAACUCUAGGGUGGAAUGUAUCGUUCUUAGUGGGCCGUUUUUGGUAAGCAGAACUGGCGAUGAGGGAUGAACCUAACGUUGAGUUAAGGCGCCCAAAUGCACGCUCAUCAGAUACCAUAAAAGGUGUUGAUUCAUAAAGACAGCAGGACGGUGGCCAUGGAAGUCGGAACCCGCUAAGGAGUGUGUAACAACUCACCUGCCGAAUGAAUUAGCCCUGAAAAUUGAUGGCGCUGAAGCGUGCUGCCGAUACUCAACCAUUAGUGCAAAUUUAAUAUGAGGCACUAAUGAGUAAGAGGGCGUGGGGACAAGUGUAGAAGCCUUAGCGGAGCUUGGGACCC
rnacentral:rRNA from 1 species